AUCUCGCUGAGAGCUGCUCUGCAUAUUGACGCAACUUGCCCAUUUCCUUUAGUGUGAAAAACAACUUCUGCCAAUAAUGACUUACACUCAGAUGCCUGUAAGGGUAUAUGAGACAAUGCCUUCUUUGGUCCAAAUUCAAAAGGAGUAUAGAAGAUCCAAUAUUUUACCUCAGCAGUUGAAAGCUCGCCAUAAAAAUGUAAGCGGCGGAGGACAGCCGUCAUGUACAUUUGGAACCCCGUCCGACCAACGGCCGUCGCCAUCUGGCCGAAAGCAGCUACGCAGCGUAUUUUUACUUCUGUUGAACGCGGAAAAGAGUGCCAAUAGCAUCCACGACUAGGGCUAAAGCAGGGUCAUUUUUAGGGAUGCUGCUGAUUGCUAACGUUAAAUAGGAAACGAGUGAGUCUGCAUGGAGCUUCAGCUCCCAGUCAAGCAUUGGAGCAAUUGUUGAUACAGCCAAAAGAGCUUCUUCUCGUGCCAUUCCGAAAGGGAAUUUUGUUAGAAGACUCAGCAGAACAACGCAUAUCAACUUUUGUACAGCCUCGUGGCAUUGGCAUCCCACACGGUCCGGUAGCUCGACAACCUACAUGUGAUGAAGAAGUUGUAGCAAUACUACUUUUACAAUUCUCGGUAUCCAAAUGCCUGACCUUACGUAGCAAUAGGAGCAAUUCAUUCGUAGUUUCCAACACGACCCAAUAACAAUCGGUGGGAGAGGUAAGCAGCAACUGACGAAGAGCUUCAAAGGCAGCUGUUAGACGUCUCUUAGCGGCCUUGACGAGCUGAUCGGCUAUCAUGUCAUAAUAGGGUGACAGCACAGAGGUAGGUGGCCGUAUAUCUCCAUCCGCCUACAUCCAAAUGGAAAUGUAUUAGACAUAACACAGUAUGAAACAAUGCACUCACUUGUUGUCGGGCUAGUGUGUGAGAGGCUUUGACAACUGAUGUCAGAGCAAUACAACUUGAGGGUGACACUCGACCUUCGCCGUCGUUAAGGCAAGCAAUUAAGUCAUCUAGAAGCAGUUGAAGAUCUUGUAAAGUUGCGGGAACCACUAAUAAUGGCGGAUAUUUUUCGACCAUCCAACUGAUAACCCAGAGAGCAGUGUUGCGUAUUCUUGAACUUGCCUUAUCUCGUAUCACUCCUCGAAUCAGAGGAAAGAUAUGUUUGAGAGUUUUUUCUGCAUGUUUCGGGUCCAUUUGUUUGAGGAAAACUAACAUAGACCAAAGAGCUGCAUGGCGGUGUCUCCAAUCCGCAUGCUACCAUCAAAAGGGCAUUUUAAAAAACGUAUAAUUUUUCUAGUAGUAAUGUUUUACCUGAAUUUUCUUUUCAACAAGAGGUAGUACGUAACGAUCUAUAGUGUCGGGGUAAUCUUCACAUAGCUCACUGAAAUAUAUUAUCACCUCCCUCGGUGGCGUCCAACCGUCGGGUGAUUGCUUAUUCUUGAAAGUUUCGCCUCGAUUCUUUCGAGAAGCUCGAUCAACCUUCGAUAUCGUAUCACUUUUACUUUGCUUUUUCUCCGUCGCAUUAGAAGCUUCUAGAUCUUCCAAAGUUAGAUCUCCCUUGAAAACAGUGUCGUAACAUGCCUGUUCGGCUUUGACGGAGGAAUUGUUAGCCACGUCAGAAUCCUCAGGUGAUAAAUUGGCAAAAAUUUCUCCUCUAACCAAUUGAGCGAAAAGGCAAGGAACGAUUUUGAUUCUGUUAUUUUCUACCAAAUAACAGGAGGCUUCUCUUUGUUCCGUUUGGAGUAUCCGCCUUCCCUCAGGAUCGCGAGGAUUUUCCACCUGGCUCACAGCCUUCCAAAAUUGUAGACCCAUUUCGUGAAUAUCACCUUCUUCUGAAUUUAUUGCCGCCGUGGUUAUCUGCGUGAGAAAUUAGAGUUGUGAGAACGUGUUUCGGUUUAGACAAUACGUGCCAAUUGUACUGGGAUGAUGACGUCGAUAUAGUCUUUCAGGUGUUGAUAACAGAAAGAUGCAGCUUUGAUCAGCAACGACAAGGCUAUCGACCGAGUACCAAUAUCAGAUGAUUCGGCGGCUUCGAAAAUAGCUUGCAUGACAAUUUUAUGUUCCCCCUAAAGCUUGAACAUUUCUUAUAUUUUUCUUUUACAAUUACCAUAACGUCUUACUGAAUUUUUGAAAUAUGCAUGGGCGGGCUCGAAACAAGACAUCAGCAUGUUGAGGAUUGCUUGCUGAGCUCUAUUUGAGAGCUGAUCCAUGCGAAGGCUGGCGAGCAAAGGUGCCAUUAUGUAGCCAACAUAUUCAGCCAUUCUUUCCGUUUUCUACAAGUAGGGAUAUUCACGAUCCUUCACUGCUUAUGCAAAAAAGAAACAACAUACCAACUUUUGACACAUAAAUGUCAAUGCUUCCACAGCUGAUUCUUUCCCUCCGCUGUCCAAUUGAUAUACGAUGCUGGAUAAUGUAGGUACGAGAUCGGGCCAGUUAUUCUUAAGCGGUAUUUCCAUCACUGCGAUGCAAGCAAUUAUCUCGACAACGGUAAUUGAGUAGCAUAAUGAGGUUGUAGGUAAAGCGAUCAGAAGGUUGCUUUUAAUCAUGUCACGAACGUCGGCUGCAAUGGCUCUCCAACGUUUUUGCUGUUCCAUUUGCGGCACAGAACCUUUCAUGUUCAACUGCAAUUGUAGCUGAAGUGCUGCGCGCCUACAAGCCACUGGAGAGAAUUUUUUAUGGUCGGCCAUUAUUACCGACAUAAAGCACAAGAAUUGGUCCUGUUAUGGACCACAUGAAAAGUUAAUGGUAGUGGUGGAACUGUAUCACGUUCUUUCUACUCACCAAAUCACUUUCAGCUAUCUUACCGAGUUCCAGUUCUGCUAUGUUCUCUUUCUGACCUGUAUAGUCUCCUGUAAGUGCAUGCCAAGAUAAAAGUUUAAAUUAGAAGGUUAACACUAUGCCAAUUUAGUUGACCUGCUGAUGUCUUGGAAAUGUACCUUCCGAGCACACCAAAGGAAGACUCUCUAGCAUUUUGACGACGAAUUCCAGUGGGAGCAUCUUGUUUAAAAUAUUUUGGGACCAACAAAUAAUGACGUUUUUAUUAAAACUUUUUUUCCCCCUACAAACUCUUUGCUUCAGUAGACAAUCGGAAACUGGCGUCGGGAUAUCUGAGCGCGAUUUGCUUUGUCUGCCUCUUGGUGGGAGAUCAGAAGCUAAGGUGAGCGGUCAGAGGUACGCAUUUUUCUAUUUGUCCGCAAGGUGACCAGCGACAGCAUUAAGGUUAAUUACUAUGUCAACAAAUUUUAUUUUUGUGCCUAUGAAAAUUAACACACAAAAUAAAUCUCACGUUUAAAAUAUUUUCUUUAAUCAGUGAUAAGUCAUGGCUUCUGCAUCUCUGUAGAUGGCUUUCCGCCGUUCUUCGUGCGGAUGAAAUGGGAAGUUUCAUGGCUGCCACCAACCUGCAUCGUUCAGAAUCAGUAAUAGGCUUUGCAAUAUCGCUGAUCAACAUAGCCAUCCCCAUCCUACAAUGCAUUUCCUUGGAAUCAUAAGCAAAGUAAAAGUGUCAACAACAAAUCUGUGGCAAAAUAUGUAUAUUUUUUUUCCAACAUGGUUUAAGAUACUUGCAAGUAGUUUUUUCAAGAAUUUCAUCUAAAAUAUUUUUUUACAGAGCAUUCAAACUGUUUUGAGGUGACUAGUGUUAGGUCAAUAAUUUUUCUUUACUGUACAACAAGUUAGAAUUACUCCUCUUUUAAUAGAAUUGGAAGGAAGCUCAAAAACUUACAUGCUUCAGAUAUCCAACUUGAUGGUGAAGUGAUAGGACAUCUACUCAUAUUAGCAGUUGACUUUGUAAUGUCUGCCAAUGAGUUAUGAGGGGCUCUGAUUAGGAUAUGUGAAAGGCCCAAUGCUGAAUUCCCAAUCACCAACAAUAGAUAGAGGUAUGUAACUUCUCCAUUCUAAAGUACUAGAUACAAAGAGUGAUUUAAGUUAAGUGUGUUUUUUUGCUCUCCUGAUUUCUUGAUUGAUGGGUUUUGUGUUGGUCCAGUGCUAAAAACAGGCAGGACUUGUAAGCAAGAAGUGCAAAUCAAAGACUAAUCUGAUACACAACUUUGAACUUUAACUGAACUUGUAACUUUAGAAACAGGGGAAAUUACUGUAGACACUAUCAGUACCGGUACAUGAUUCCUGAUAAUUAUCCCACAUAGACUUUAGACUUGUAGAAAUUGUCCUACAGGAUUUCAAAACACAUUUCGAUCGGCCUAUCGUUUAUCAAUUUCCCUGUAAAGCCUAAGACGCCGAAUACGGAUUUGUUAAAAAUGAGGUAUGGAAUCAGAAUACAUUAAAAAGUUUGCCUUUAAGUUACUAGGAAAAAUAGAGAGAAAAUAUAAAUGACCCGUUGGUCAACGUUUGAUCAUUGGUGAGGUACGCUGAAGAUUCGGAACAACGGAGUUGGAAUGAUUUGAUUUACGAAUGUUGCUUAGACAAAUGAUCUUCACACUCUUUAUAGGACACGCAUACGGAGUUGUAUCAUUGGCCAGAUUUAGAUGAGAAAUAUUAUGAACCGUAGUAUAGACUUUUGACAUCGAAAAAUCAAUCAGCUUUGUCGUCUCGUGAAAAUUUCUUAAACUCGCUUUUUAAGAGAAGUUCACGUGAUGACUUGUUGACUAUUCCUUAAAUAUAAAUGCACAGUUGUUGGAAAUAAUGGAUGCAUUUGUUUUUCGUCAAACAAAUUAAACAUUGUUAAUGUGCAGCUAGGUGUGUUGUUGCUCUCCCUUGUAAAACUACCCUUUUUCGCCAAAUUGUUAAUCUCAUUCUUUUGUAACGUUUGAAUGUCGCCCAAAGCGGAAGGUCAUUCGAGGCGUUAUGCCAUUUCUUGAAAUGGAACAUUCAGAAAAUGUGGUAUAUGUUCGCAAAUGGUUAAGAUCUAUUCAGAUCGGUACCAUAAAGUAUGACUGAAGGAAAAGGGUACGUAGGUGAAGAACAGCUCUGGCGUCUUUGGUAAGCGGAAAAGUUACUGUAAAGGGAAGCGUCACAUGACGGUUUUAAGGAUGGACUCUUUCGUUUGCUAUGCCAAAUGAAUCUGUGCUUGGAACUGACAGGUGGUGUUUAGCAGUGGCACCCAAUCUUUAUUCUUAAAAGCCAGAGGUGUUCUUCAAUUUUCAGGGGGACUGAUUGAUGAUAGUUGUUGGUUAAACCAUGAAGAAUACCAAUAUAUGGAUAAGUAGAGGGGUAUAAAAGUAUAAAACAAUUAUUUAUCAUGUCAUUUUCAUUCACGCAUGCGCGACAGUUCGUGAGCAGACGAACCAUUGAAAGAGCCUUGCGCAGUCUAGCGUGCAUCUAGCCAGAUACUAGUAGAACCAUGGACUACUACAUCUAGAGGACGGGACUCUUUUCCUAUCUCGCCGUGUUAAAGCCCGUCGGGUGGGUCAAUUUCACGGGGAAAUAUAUAAAACACAUCAAUCGAUAGAGCUUUAAAAGGCGGUUACAAUUAUGCAAAUGGAUUUUAGAAAAUCUUUGAAAUGAAAUAGAUAUUUAAGUUUUAGUAUUAGGAGAACGGGAAGAAAGUCGUUUCACCGGUGCCCCCUAGCGACUAAUGUAAGUUCUAGUUACCAAGUCCUUGUCAAAACAAACAAAACAAUACAAAGGUUCGACUGCUAUUCUAGAAACGUUUUGUGUGUGACAGAUUUUUUGACAAAUUUUGCCGGUCGCAGACGUUUAGUUGUAAGAGCUUCUGGAACUUGGCCGCUAGGUAGCACCGGUGAAACGGACUUUCUUCCCUUUCUCCUGAAACCUCGAAGAGUCUCGUCCUCUAGAUGUAGUAGUCCAUGGUAGAACCCGAAACAUUGUUUGAUAAGUACUGUCAUAUUGCGGUUACAGGUUUUCACCAAGUAGCCAGUUAGAAAAGGGUUUAAUCGUGUUAAAUGUAUGAUUUUUCGAUUCGAGUCUAUUUAUUUGUCAGAACUGAAAUUUUACUUCUAGAACUUUUAAAACAACGCAUAACUUUUAUUAACAAUAGUUUACUUUUACAACUAUAAAAAUGUUGUUAACCAUGUUAACCAUGUUAACCAUUCUAGAAAACAGCUAAAUUUUAAUGUUUAACGGUAUUGUUUACAUUAUGUGUAAGGAAAAAUGAGCUGCGUUGUAAAAGGGUGUCAUCAUACCCAGGGCCUACGACAAUGAAAAUUGUAAACAAUACCGUUAAACAUUAAAAUUUAGCUGUU